rnacentral:rRNA from 1 species
AUUGAACGCUGGCGGCAUGCCUUACACAUGCAAGUCGAACGGCAGCACGGGAGCAAUCCUGGUGGCGAGUGGCGAACGGGUGAGUAAUAUAUCGGAACGUGCCCAGUCGUGGGGAUAACGUAGCGAAAGCUACGCUAAUACCGCAUACGAUCUAUGGAUGAAAGCGGGGGAUCGCAAGACCUCGCGCGAUUGGAGCGGCCGAUAUCAGAUUAGGUAGUUGGUGAGGUAAAGGCUCACCAAGCCGACGAUCUGUAGCUGGUCUGAGAGGACGACCAGCCACACUGGAACUGAGACACGGUCCAGACUCCUACGGGAGGCAGCAGUGGGGAAUAUUGGACAAUGGGCGAAAGCCUGAUCCAGCCAUGCCGCGUGUGUGAAGAAAGGUCUUCGGAUUGUAAAGCACUUUAAGUU